AGGAUUGUUCAGUGAUGCAGAAUAUUGUGUAACUAUGCGAAAGUUCAUUGACACAAAGUAACACAAGCGAUCGAUAUUCUCUCCUCGGGUGAAGGGUUAACACAGGUUUCCUCCAUUCCCCCUCUGUCACCUAAUACACGUAUUGUCCUAAUGGAUCUGGACUGAGGUUCUGUAUCAGCUGCGGCCCUAGAGAUGGGGAUCUGGUGUAACUCCGGCCCCUACAGGAUGGCGCACAUAAGCCAAUACGUUAUCCCUCUGCGGGUGUACCGCCCCUUUAAUUAGAAAUCUCUGUCUAUCUAUAUGGAAUUACAGUGACAAUAACCAGGACGCGGCGAGGAUAGACGGCGUUUCCCAUUAAACCAAAAACAAACACCAGGUGCUGGAGGAGCGAGCGCACAAAGCCUUUUUAUGUGACCGCGACGUGAAUGGCGAGAGUGAUGGGCGACGGGAAAUGAAACAGAUCGCUAUGGAAACGCCACCUCCGCCGGUGAAGUCAAUACGAACAGCUGGGUGACAAUCCCAUUGGAAGCCGCCACCAUAUUUACGGCCACCCAGAUACGAAAGAUAUUUAAAGACCCAAAGGGGGGGAAAUGUUCUUGGAUUUAUUUAUUUAUUAUCAUUGUAACGUUUUAUUUAUAAAUAUUCUCUUAGCUGAAUAAUCUGUCAAUAUCAAUGAUCACUACCGAUGCCCUAAUCUCCAAACAUAUUGUGUAAGAUUUGGGUAAACGCCAAGUGGCGUGAUUUCUAUUUAUUUUUU